UACGUAGGGCGCAAGCGUUAUCCGGAAUUAUUGGGCGUAAAGAGCUCGUAGGCGGUUUGUCGCGUCUGCUGUGAAAAUCCAGGGCUUAACCCUGGACCUGCAGUGGGUACGGGCAGACUAGAGUGCGGUAGGGGAGAUCGGAAUUCCUGGUGUAGCGGUGAAAUGCGCAGAUAUCAGGAGGAACACCGGUGGCGAAGGCGGAUCUCUGGGCCGUAACUGACGCUGGAGGAGCGAAAGCAUGGGGAGCGAACAGG
rnacentral:rRNA from 1 species